AGGACGAACGCUGGCGGCGUGCUUAACACAUGCAAGUCGAGCGGAAAGGCCCUUCGGGGUACUCGAGCGGCGAACGGGUGAGUAACACGUGAGCAACCUGCCCCUGGCUCUGGGAUAGCCUCCGGAAACGGGGAUUAAUACCGGACAUGACCUGCUGCCGCAUGGUGGCGGGUGGAAAGUUUUUUCGGCCAGGGUGGGGCUCGCGGCCUAUCAGCUUGUUGGGGGGGUGACGGCCCACCAAGGCGACGACGGGUAGCC
rnacentral:rRNA from 1 species